rnacentral:rRNA from 1 species
GUGCCAGCCGCCGCGGUAAUACGGAGGGUGCAAGCGUUGUCCGGAAUUAUUGGGUGUAAAGGGUGCGCAGGCGGAAGCCUAAGUCGAGGGUGAAAGACGACCGCUUAACGGUCGCAGUGCCUUCGAUACUGGGUUUCUUGAGUCCGGAAGAGGUUGGUGGAAUUCGUGGUGUAGCGGUGAAAUGCAUAGAGAUCACGAAGAACACCGGUGGCGAAGGCGGCCAACUGGUCCGGCACUGACGCUGAGGCACGAGAGCGUGGGGAGCGAACAGGAUUAGAUACCCGGGUAGUCC